rnacentral:rRNA from 1 species
UACAGAGGUGGCAAGCGUUGUUCGGAAUUACUGGGCGUAAAGGGCGAGUAGGCGGCUUUUUAAGUCAGACGUGAAAUCCCCCGGCUUAACCUGGGAACUGCGUCUGAUACUGGAAGGCUUGAGUAUGGGAGAGGAAUGUGGAAUUCCAGGUGUAGCGGUGAAAUGCGUAGAUAUCUGGAGGAACACCGGUGGCGAAGGCGGCAUCCUGGACCGGCAUUGACGCUGAGGAGCGAAAGCCAGGGGAGCAAACGGG